rnacentral:rRNA from 1 species
AACGAACGCUGGCGGCAGGCUUAACACAUGCAAGUCGAACGCCCCUUUCGGGGGGAGUGGCAGACGGGUGAGUAACGCGUGGGAACGUGCCCUUCAGUUCGGGAUAACCCAGGGAAACUUGGGCUAAUACCGGAUACGUGCGAGAGCAGAAAGAUUAAUCGCUGAAGGAACGGCCCGCGUCUGAUUAGCUGGUUGGUGAGGUAAUGGCUCACCAAGGCGACAAUCAGUAGCUGGUCUGAGAGGAUGAUCAGCCACAUUGGGACUGAGACACGGCCCAAACUCCUACGGGAGGCAGCAGUGGGGAAUAUUGGACAAUGGGCGCAGGCCUGAUCCAGCCAUGCCGCGUGAGUGAUGACGGCCUUAGGGUUGUAAAGCUCUUUCGGCGGGGACGAUAAUGACGGUACCCGCAGAAGAAGCCCCGGCUAACUUCGUGCCAGCAGCCGCCGUAACAC